rnacentral:rRNA from 1 species
UACGUAGGGGGCAAGCGUUGUCCGGAAUCAUUGGGCGUAAAGAGCGUGUAGGCGGUCCGAUAAGUCGGUUGUGAAAGUCAAGGGCUCAAUCCUUGAAUGCCGACCGAUACUGUCGGGCUAGAGUCCGGAAGAGGCGAGUGGAAUUCCUGGUGUAGCGGUGAAAUUCGUAGAUAUUCGGAAGAACACCAGUGGCGAAGGCGGCUCACUGGCCCGGUACUGACGCUGAGGUGCGAAAGCGUGGGGAGCAAACAGG